GCAAGUUGUCAUAGAAUAAAGGAGGCUGAGACAGGAGGAUCGCUUGAGUCCAUAAGUUCUGGGCUGUAGUGCACUAUGCCGAUCAGGUGUCCGCACUAAGUUCGGCAUCAAUAUGGUGACCUCCCGGGAGCGGGGGACCACCAGGUUGCCUAAGGAGAGGUGAACCGGCCCAGGUCGGAAAUGGAGCAGGUCAAAACUCCCGUGCUGAUCAGUAGUGGGAUCGCUCCUGUGAAUAGCCACUGCACUCCAGCCUGGGCAACAAAGCGAGACCCCGUCUCU
rnacentral:SRP_RNA from 1 species